AAACUCAAAUAACAUCUGUGGUAUGUUACUUGUAUAGGCUGUGAUUAUGUGUUCUUGGCAAUUCUGCCUUUUUUUUUUUUAAACUGCCAAGUUACCUGUUAAUUUGCACCUACAUUUUGUUUUUAAAGAUACUGAUGAGAAGAUAUAAUAAGGGGCUUGAUGUAGUCUAAACACUAGUUCUGUAAGUCAUACAGGGCAAGUUUUAUGGCAGUUUAAACAACAUAAUAUAUGCUAGUUCAAAUACAGGAACCAUUCAAAAGGGGAUGUCUGUGUAAAGAGAGGCUGCACAAAUAUUGAAGUUCUUUAAAUGUAGUUUAGGAACUAGAGAAAAUAUGAAUGAGUAAAGGGUCAGAAAAGUCUACUGAAUUUUAAAGUGCACAAUGUGAUAGCAUGCUUCAGGGAAAAACUACUCGGUGUGCGUCUUCCUAUCAUAAUAAGAUGAUGAUGCAAAUUCAUCUGACUUCCGUAACCUUUUUUAUGUCUUUACAAAGAAGAGAGCUGUUUUUAAGGACCGUGCAGGCUUUACUGCUGGGUAUUUGACCUUUUAAUAAAGUUUAAAACCUGUAUGAACUCCUUCAUGUCACUUAAAAUAGCGAAAGGUAUUGCAGAUUACAUGGAGAAUAGGCAUGGGCUAGAAAUCUGAUAAAUGGUAUCAACAUCGUGUCAGAGAUGCUCAAAACUUAAAAAGGUUUGAGUUGAGGAAAUGUUAUACAGAAAAUUGGUGUUAGACUUUGCCAGGUAUGUUAGGGGGUGGAAUACUACUGGUCACACAAGGCUCCCUCGGUUUGGAUGGUCUGUAUGUGUGCUGUUAGAUACCUCUGGUUACUGUACCACUAGCACGUCUAAUGACCUUGUUAGUUGUAAUAAAGAGACCACAGGCUCCAGUUCUUAGUAACGAGGACUUUGUGGUACCGUGAAGUCCUUUGAAGGAUACAGCAGGAAGUGUGAGGUGACAAGCAGACGACGCCUGGCUUGGGAGCCAGCUGCCUUCCCUGCCUCCUGCUGUGCAGGUCUCAGGAUUCCCCAGGAAAGUAGGGGGUGGGGCUGUCCUCCACUUCUGGCAGUCCCAGGACCUGCAUGGCAGGGAGUGGGAAAGGCAGCAGGCUCCAUUGCGUGGGGCUUCCCCCGGUGGCGCACAAGUGCCAGAAGCUGCAUGUGCACUGCAGGGAG